UAAGUUCCUCCACUCUGACUCGACAGAUAUAGAGACCCUACUUUCAAAUGCUUCUCUGUUUCGAACUUGAAGAAGGUCACGGCUGAAAUUUGCAAGAGCUAGGAGAAGGGCGGGCAAUGGGGGUACUUGGUUGUGGGUCAAGCUUGUUGCCACAUUGGGUUGAUGGAAGAUGCAAUGGUGCUCUUUCAAAUAGGAAAAUGUCUAGCUUCGGCAGCGUUCAGCCACCAAUGACGGGAUUUGGGGAGAAGAGGAUUUUCCCAUUAAAACUGCUCGGGUUUGGGUCGAAACCCUCUCAUGGAUGGGUUUUUUGGUGAGAAGAUAUGGACCGUUGGAUCAUCCAAGUACGCAAUAUCACAUGUGCAUGCCCUAUUUGCAUAUUUUGAGCCAUGCCCGAGGAACCAUAUCCAUCCUGAUUGACUGGGCUGAUUGGCUGAAGCUGUGGAAUGCUGAUUAAUGUUUCACUAUGGUAUCUAGAACAGCCAAUGAGUUCAGAUACAGGUCAGAGUUUCACCUGAAUAUCUUGCAGAGGUCCGAUCAUUUCUAUGCGGGAAAGACGAAGCCUUACACGAUUUUCUCCAGGAAACAAAUCCAGCCUUAGAAGGAAAAAAAAAAAGGAGAGGGAUCGGUAUGCUAGCGUAGUACUUAGGAAUUAGGAAUACUAGCGGGAUUUUGAUCGUAGGAUUUGAUCAAUUUGAAUUAAACAGUUAGAUGGAAAGAAGACAUACAAAUUUUCAAUCCAUGGUUGCUACACCUUUCCUCUUUCUCCUUCUCUCUCUUCUUGUCGGAAAGUGAUUCCUUUUACCAGAUCUAGUUGGAGAAAGCGAACUCCGGUCAUGGAUCCAUCUCCGAUGAGCUUUCCAAUCCUCUCCUAUGCCAUGUCCCGGAUCACCCUUGGCCGCUCAAUUCCCUUAUCUGGCAUCGGCACCGACACCAAGGCACUGGCACUGACACCAGUUCCGACUCCAUGCAUGUUGAUAUCGAACAACCACUGCCGCCGUUGAUGGAGCAGAUGCCCAUUCUGAAAGACCCAGCGCUCCUGGCCACCAUGACCAAGGUAGUCAUCGACGUUGCCCAUACCCAAUUAGUCCGCGGUCACCGGAAUGAUUCCAGCAUUGGAAAUCGUUUCCAAAGACCCCCCCAAUCCGACUUCAUCAAUCACUAGUCUGUUCUCGUGCUCCUGUUUCCUCUCAUAAAACUGAUUUCCAACAAAAUCAAACAUAAGCGUGAUCAGUGAAGCAAUCAUGGCGAUGAACCCAAAGAAGGGGAAUUUUAACCAUGGAUUUUUAGGCAAGCAAGGGUCGGAUUUAUUAGCCGUCUCUUUGUUCGGAGGGUUUACUAUGAGCAACAAUUCCAUCAGCAAUUUCAAGCGCAAUGGUUCCCAGAGAGAUUGUAGCAAUGGUGGUUAUAGUAGCGGUUCCCGCUGAGGCUUCUAGGGGAAUGGUUUCAGCGGUGGUUUCCGGAGGAGUCAUUUCGACAACAGUGGUUUCCAGAGGAGUGACUUUGACGGCGGUGGUUUCUAGGGGAGUGAUUUCAACGACCGUAGUUUCUGGGGGAGUGAUUUCUUCUGCGGUGGUUUCCGAAGGAGUAAUUUCAAAGACAGUGUCGGCCCGGAGGUGGUUGCAACUGGAGUUUUAGAGGAGGUGAUUUCAACGGCGUGAUCAACAAAGCCAUCAUGGCAAGGAACACAGAGAAGGGGUCAUGGUCAGAAUUGCAAUAUGGCCUUUGCCAUUUCCGACGAUAAACCAACUGCUGGACUGAAGCUUGGUAGACUCCCUGUGACCGAAACUUUUGGAGCCUCUGCCGGUGUUGCAAGAAUGUUUGAACUUGCCAGCGGCGGUGAUGCGACACACUUGCCGGAGAAAGGGUCGUGGUUGAGGGAGUAGUACCAUGAAACAACAAUAUUGGAUAGGUUUUGUAAGACCUCGCCACAUGAAAGAAUGAGAUUUCUUAUGUUUCAUC